GGCCUCCCGCCCAAUGAUGGGAGGUCCAGCCUGCCCAAUGAUACAUUGAAUGGCCGCGGUACUCUUACCGUGCGAAGGUAGCAUAAUCACUUGUUCAUUAAAUAUGGACUAGUAUGAACGGCAUCACGAGGGUCAUACUGUCUCCCUACUCCAAUCAAUGAAACUAUUUUUCCCGUGAAGAAACGGGAAUUAAACUAUAAGACGAGAAGACCCCAUGGAGCUUUAAACCCAGAACAUCUACCACCCACCCCAUUUUUACCUAACUAUAGUAUUUAUGUUUUCUGGUUUUUGGUUGGGGCGACCACGGAGCAAAAAAAAUCCUCCACGAUGAACAAGCUUUACUUUUACCCAUGAAGCACACUUCUAAGGACCCUUAAUAUGACAUUUCUUGACCCAAGCCUACUUGAUCAACGAACCUAGUUACCCUGGGGAUAACAGCGCAAUCCAUUUCAAGAGCCCAUAUCGACAAAUGGGUUUACGACCUCGAUGUUGGAUCAGGGUAUCCCAGUGGUGCACCCGCUACUAAAGGUUUGUUUGUUCAACAAUUAAUAACCCU
rnacentral:rRNA from 1 species